rnacentral:lncRNA from 1 species
UAAUGUGGUCAGAGACCACAAUUAUUUCGUAGUGCAUUUCUUUCAGAAUAUAAAUGAAAAUUUUAAAAAUCCCACCUGCGCUUUCUCAAUGAAAUUUUUACAGUGUAUUGUACUACUUUUGGGACAAAUAAUAUCAAAAUUAUAGAAAACUUCAUCGGCUCUAACUCAAAUUAUGGACAAUUUUAUGUUUAGGGUGUCUUGAAAUCUUUUGACAGCUUCCGAAGUGCUAAUUUUUAACCUUUUUCAGCUGGACCAAAUCACUACUUUCCUUUAAAAUUCUGGAUCCGAAUUUUUUUAGUGUAAAUUCAUCCCCCUACUUGCAAUUUGAGGCAUUAAACAUGGAGAAAUAAAUAUCGAAGGGGUAUUAAAAUUAAUGGCAAGUAAUCCACUGUCAAC